AUAGAAACAAUAGAACAAGCCGACCAAUCGGAAUGGAGAACUCAGCAGUGCAGUGUUUUGUACUAAAAUAGUAAACACUGAGUAUAACCUUUAUACCUGACUGAUAAAAUGUUGGACUUUAGUGAUCUUAUCCCAAGUGUGUGUGUGUGUGUGUGUGUGUCUGUGUGUGUGUGAUUUGCGGCCAACAGAUUCAUCACUGCACUUUGCCUUCAGAGUUUCGACAUCUUCCUAUAAUCGGAGGAAAUUGGGCCAGAAUGGAAGAUUACAUUUCAACAAUCACGGAGGGACAAAAGUGACCACAACAACAACAACAACAACAGGUGUGUGCCAUCAAUCUGUGGAGGGUUAUAUGUCCAUCUCUGACCAGUUCACUGCUUUUAUUAUCUCCACACAUACAUUACAGCACAGUGGAACUCUUUUCUUCACAUACCCCAGCUGAGGAAGUUGGGGUUAAAGGAAGCUGGGUGGUGCUGGAGCUUCCUCCAAUCAACAAGCCAAAGCCUUGACCACUCGAUCUACCACAAGGAUCAUUUACAAGCAGAGAGACUUCAAGAUCUUCCCACUAAUGUGAGCGUCCCAACAAGGUCAGUUCAAGGUCAGGCCGCUUAAAGCUCAGAGAUAGAGACCUUUAAAUGACGUGAACAAGUAUGGCUUUAACGCAAGUGAAGCCUGGGAAAAGAGGUCACUGUUGUCUCCUCUCAUCUGGAGUGUACGUCGCUCUCCAUGAACGAGUCUGCCAAAUGAACGAGAUGGAAAACGUUUCCAAACAGCAGAACGAAGAACAGAGCCUGGGUUUUUAAAAAGAGCCCGAGCGACCCGUCUGAUCAUCGGGUUCGAAGGAUCUGUCAUAUGAAAAAAAAAAAAAAAUAAAAAUAAGGAACUCAUAAGGUGGAACUUCUACAAGUCUGUUUGGAAUGCAGAUGUGACACCUGUGCAUUCUGGGAAUUUUGACUGUUUCCCAAAAAGAAAAAAAACAACGACUCGAGGCAACUGGAACAAUAGUGGCCCAGUGUAGUGAGCAGGCUGCUCUAAUGCCAGCUGUGCUGCCAUCAAUAAUAAAUGAGUGACACAUGCCAAGUUGUGUGUAGGUUAGACAGAGGGACAGCAUCCUAAACACACACACACACACACACACUCGAAAAAAAACAAAAAAAAACAACACCCCACAAAAACAACGCCUUCUCCUGCCAAGCGGCUGUCGCAUCGCAAUCAAUUUUAAUCAAAGAUAGAGGGGAAAAAACACAAAAGAAGAAACGGAGUGAGUGAAAGAGGGUCUUGAUGAUGAAAGAGAUGAGAUUAAAGCCUUUACAUAGCCAGAUAAAAGACAAUUCAAACAAGCCAACCUUAUGACAAAACCAUUAAUAUGCAAGGAAAUUUGCAGACCUAGAAAUACACUGUGAGCCAGUCGUCCUGCCACCACACUCACGCCGGGCUUUUAAAGCAUUCUAAUCAUUUCUACACUUUAUUUAUUUAUUUUAAAAAAAACUUAUCAUCUACCAAAUCUAG